UUGUGCCAUUUCUAGCUGCAGUGAGACUGAUUCUCUCUUGGUACAAGAGGGGUAACUUGAAAAGGUUCUUUUCAGUACAUGACACAGGUAAUUGUGACCCGGCAGUUAUAUUUGAUGACAUCACUCCUUUGUGCCUAAUGUGGGCUUUCCAACAACUGGGCAAAGAGUCCUCUAUGGGUACACCAUCUUCCUUAAUUCUAGGCAAGCCUGACUAUCAACAUGAGGAUGCAGUUUACAGAAAAGAACCACAACAGUUUUAUGAUGCAGGCUCUCAACAAGCAAAGGAAAAACAAAGAGUUUUGUGACGUGGCCCUCAGUGUGGACCAGAAGGUCUUCUAUGCCCACCUCAAUGUUUUAGCAGCGGUGUCCUCCCAUAUAAGGAACCUGAUAGCCAGCAAUGACAUGAAAACUGAUGACGAACUCUAUAUCAUCAUCGAUAACAAGUUCCUGAGCCCUGCCUUGGUAGAACAGCUUCUGGAAUACUUUUAUACUGGGAAGGUUGUGAUUUCAGAGAAGAACGUUGAGGACCUGCUGAAGGGAGCCAAGUACUUCAGUUCCCAGACCCUAAAAAACCAUUGCUCCGACUACCUCCUCAGGUCCCUCCGGAAGGACAACUGCCUGUACUACAUGCUCUUGGCCACCACAUAUGACAUGAAAGAGGUGGGAACCUGUGCCUAUGAAAGUGUACGAGACAACUUUAACUACUGGGCAAGCCCUGAGGGGAUCGUAGACCUCGUGUAUUGUCCUCCUAACAUCUUCGGCAAGCUCCUUAGGGAUGAUAAUCUUCACGUGCAAAAUGAGGACCAAGCCUUCCUGGCUCUCCUCCAGUGGGUGAAUCACAAAAAGGCUGAGAGGCAGAAGUUUUUUAAGAAAUAUUUUGCUUACAUACACUUAACUGCAAUUUCUAACAAGACACUGCAUGCUGCUUGCCGUGAAGUGAUGCUCUUUGACGACCACGCUGUCCCCCUGUCCCGAAUAGAGAGUGUUUUGAGUGACCGGAAACAUGGGAGUCCUCAAAGCCUGAUGCUUUACCAAAGGAAAGGGGCAUUAGUGGAUGCUGUGGUGGUUUUAGGAGGACAAAAAGAGCAGGGGAAGUUCAACAACGGGGUCUUUGCUUACAUCGUUGGGGAGAACAUCUGGCUGAAACUCACAGAGAUGCCUUACAAAGCAGCUGCUCUCAGUGCAACAUCAUUAGGGAAAUACAUUUAUGUGUCUGGAGGAACAACGGAACAGAUCUCUGGGUUGAAGACAGCCUGGAAGUAUGAUAUGGACACCAACUCCUGGAUCAAGCUUCCGGAUCUGCCAGUAGGCUUGGUCUUCCACACCAUGGUGACUUGUGGGGGGGCAGUAUACUCCAUUGGAGGGAGCACAGCCCCAAGAAAAUACAUUUCGAGUAUCUACAAGUAUGAUGAUGGGAAAGAGAAGUGGAUUCUUGCUGGGAAGAUGAGCAUACCUAUGGAUGCCACUGCUCUGAUCACCAAGGAAGAGAAAACAAUUUACAUUGUGACGGGGAGAUGCUUGGUGAAUGGGCGCUUCUCCCGCGUGGGCGUGGUGGAUUGCUUUGACACUCAAACCAGAAACGUGGUGCAGUACAUCACAUUUCCUAUUCAGUUCAACCACAAGCCUUUGCUGUUCUUUCCGCAGGAGAACAUCUUGUGUGUACAGAGCCACAAAGAGAGUGUGGAAAUAAACCUGCAGAAGGUUAAAAUGAACAAAUCCACAAGCCUUGUGCCUCUUUUGCCAAAUAACUAUAGCUUGGAUCUGUCGCAUGCAGUGUGCUCUGUUGGGAAGAACAAGGUGUUUGUGUGUGGUGGACUCAUUUGUCCGGGUGACAAACGCCCAGAGGAAUAUACGAUCAAUCGCCAGGCAUACAUGCUCGAUCAAAACAUAGGGGAAUGGAGGAUUUUGGCAGAACCUCCAGAAGCUCUUGAUUGUCCUGCUUGUUGUACAGCUAAGUUGUCGUGCAAGAUUCUCCAAAAAACUGUAGUCAAUUAAUUUGAGAAGACAACAGCAAACAGAAUUUCUAGCAAUAAAGAAUGUCUGAAUUGCAGAUCACAGAUUCUACCUGACAGGGA